GAUGAACGCUGGCGGCGUGCCUAAUACAUGCAAGUCGAGCGAACAGACGAGGAGCUUGCUCCUCUGACGUUAGCGGCGGACGGGUGAGUAACACGUGGAUAACCUACCUAUAAGACUGGGAUAACUUCGGGAAACCGGAGCUAAUACCGGAUAACAUGUUGAACCGCAUGGUUCAACAGUGAAAGACGGUUUUGCUGUCACUUAUAGAUGGAUCCGCGCCGCAUUAGCUAGUUGGUAAGGUAACGGCUUACCAAGGCAACGAUGCGUAGCCGACCUGAGAGGGUGAUCGGCCACACUGGAACUGAGACACGGUCCAGACUCCUACGGGAGGCAGCAGUAGGGAAUCUUCCGCAAUGGGCGAAAGCCUGACGGAGCAACGCCGCGUGAGUGAAGAAGGUCUUCGGAUCGUAAAGCUCUGUUAUUAGGGAAGAACAAAUGUGUAAGUAACUAUGCACGUCUUGACGGUACCUAAUCAGAAAGCCACGGCUAACUACGUG
rnacentral:rRNA from 1 species